GACGAACGCUGGCGGCGUGCUUAACACAUACAAGUCGAACGGUGAAGCGCCUUCCUUUUUGGUGGGUGUGGAUGAGUGGCGAACGGGUGAGUAACACGUGAGUAACCUGCCCCCUUCUUCUGGAUAACCGCAUGAAAGUGUGGCUAAUACGGGAUAUUCUGGGUCUGUCGCAUGAUGGGUCUGGGAAAGAUAUUGUUUCGGUGGGGGAUGGGCUCGCGGCCUAUCAGCUUGUUGGUGGGGUGAUGGCCUACCAAGGCGGUGACGGGUAGCCGGCCUGAGAGGGUGGACGGUCACACUGGUACUGAGACACGGCCCAGACUCCUACGGGAGGCAGCAGUGGGGAAUAUUGCACAAUGGGCGCAAGCCUGAUGCAGCGACGCCGCGUGAGGGAUGGAGGCCUUCGGGUUGUGAACCUCUUUCGCCAGUGAAGCAGGCCUGCCUCGUUUGUGGGUGGGUUGACGGUAGCUGGAUAAGAAGCGCCGGCUAACUACGUG
rnacentral:rRNA from 1 species